AGGGCAGCAGGAAUCACUUCCUAUCUACCAGAGAGCAGCACUCAGAAAAUGGAGACUCUGAAUAACACCAGCAUAUUGCCAGGAUUCGUGCCUUUGCUCAUUUUCCAGGUUUGCAAAACUCUCCACAUUCUAUCCGGGCAGCUGGGUGGCACAAUGGAUAGAGUGUCACACCUCAAGUCAGAAUGACCCAAGUUUAAAUCUGACCCCAGACAUUUUCUAGCUCUUGGACUCUGGGAUAUUAGUAAGGA
rnacentral:lncRNA from 1 species